AUUGAACGCUGGCGGCAGGCCUAACACAUGCAAGUCGGGCGGCAGCACAGAGAUUGCUCCUUGAUUCAGCGGCGGACGCGUGAGUAAUGCCUAGGAAUCUGCCUGUUAGUGGGGGAUAACGUCCGGUAACGGGCGCUAAUACCGCAUACGUCCUGAGGGUGAAAGGGGGGGAUGUUCGGAUCUCGCGCUUUCAUUUUUGGCGAGGCCGGAUUAGCUUGUGGGUGGGGUAAGGGCCUACCAAGGCGACGAUCCGUAACUGGUCUGAGAGGAUGAGCAGUCACACUGGAACUGAGACACGGUCCAGACUCCUACGGGAGGCAGCAGUGGGGAAUAUUGGACAAUGGGCGAAAGCCUGAUCCAGCCAUGCCGCGUGUGUGAAGAAGGUCUUCGGAUUGUAAAGCACUUUUAUUUGGGAGGAAGGGCAGUAAGUUAAUACCUUGCUGUGUUGACGUUACCAACAGAAUAAGCACCGGCUAACUACGUG
rnacentral:rRNA from 1 species